UACAGAGGGGGCAAGCGUUAUUCGGAAUUAUUGGGCGUAAAGGGCGCGUAGGCGGCUUGGCAAGUGGAUGGUGAAAUCCCUCGGCUUAACCGAGGAACUGCCGUCCAAACUGCUUCGCUUGAGACCGGGAGAGGUGAGUGGAAUUCCCAGUGUAGCGGUGAAAUGCGUAGAUAUUGAGAGGAACACCAGUGGCGAAGGCGGCUCAGCUGGACCGGUACUGACGCUGAUGACGCGGAAAGCGUGGGGGAGCAAACGGG
rnacentral:rRNA from 1 species